rnacentral:rRNA from 1 species
AACGCUGGCGGCGUGCUUAACACAUGCAAGUCGAACGCGAAAGCGGCUUCGGCCGUGAGUAGAGUGGCGCACGGGUGAGUAACGCGUAGAUAACCUGUCUUCAUAUUCGGGAUAACACGCCAAAGGGGUACUAAUACCGGAUACGCUUGAUUUCAUAGGCAAGGCAAGGAAAGGUGGCCUCUACAUGUAAGCUACUGUAUGAAGAGGGGUCUGCGUACCAUUAGCUAGUAGGUGGGGUAAUGGCCUACCUAGGCGACGAUGGUUAGCGGGUCUGAGAGGAUGAUCCGCCACACUGGCACUGGAAUACGGGCCAGACUCCUACGGGAGGCAGCAGUGAGGAAUAUUGCGCAAUGGGGGCAACCCUGACGCAGCGACGCCGCGUGAGUGAGGAAAGGUCUUCGGAUCGUAAAGCUCUGUCAAGAGGGAAGAAGUGCUGGGUGGCUAAUAUCCGCCCUGUUUGACGGUACCUCUAAAGGAAGCACCGGCUAACUCCGUGCCAGCCGCAGC